UGUCAGUUCCCUGCUCUGUUCCCUGCUGCUGCAUCGUAUUGUUUCUGACACUGUUCCUGUCUCUUCGCUGUCCGUUACAAUGAAAUGUUUUACUCCCCGUACCUGCUUCGGAUACAGUUGCUAUCUACCUGAUGACGAGGUUCAUCAACAAGGUGCUGCAAGCGAUGGUGUUUGCCAGUGUCAGUGUUUGGCUACACAGCCUGCUUUCUGGUGGAUGGUUUUCAGUCAGGACAACUGGGGUCCCAAAGACCACCGCUCAGUUCUACAGGCAGGUCGUAAAGGACAACGGUUUCCCUGGUGAUGAGACCACCAGAGGUCAAAGGGUGUUACCCAUGUGACUUCCACUGGGGCGUGGCCGACUCAACCGUACAGGUCCAUUUCCACCCCUUCUCCCCUCAAUUCUUGGACCCCCAUCUGUACAGCUGGAACCUGACAGGGGACAGGGCGCUGUAUCCUGUCCAAGGGGUCAAGCUCCACACCAGGAUGAUUACCUGGCCAUCUGAGGUCACCUGGGCUUCUUUGAGUCCACAGGGGCAUCUCACUACCGCUUCGCUCUAAACUGGUCCCUCAUCCUGCCCCAUGGAGAUCUGUUUAAUGUGCACACAGAGGCCCUGAGGGUAGACACACUGUAUAGUGUGUAUUCAAUGUUUAAUACACAUGCAAACAUGCACGCCUGCAUGGAUACACAUUGCAUUUUAAAUCACUUUAAACUCUUUUUAACAGAUUCUAUCGCUGUCUCCUGACUGAGCUCCGCAAGCAGGGCCUGGAGGCCAUGGUCAUGCUCUACUACCCCAUGAACAGAGCCCCUCUGCUGGGCUUGCCUGGCCCGGUGCAUGGCUCCAGAGGCUGGCUGAACCGGAGCACGGUGGAGGCCAGGGCUACAGGGCUGGGCCCUGGGUGAGUUAUUGGAUCACCGUCAAUGAGCCCAACAGACUGAUGGAGUGGAGAGGCGCAGCAUCUGGCAGCCCAUAGCCUCCUGCUGGCCCACACUAAGGCCUGGAGGCUAUAUGAGAGGGAGCAUCUCAGCCAACAGAGGAUGUGUCCCUGGCCCUGCACGCAGACUGGGUAGAACACAUCAACCCCUUCCUGGAGUCACAUGCAACCACCGCUCAGAUUUCUGUGUUUUUUUUUUAACCUUUAUUUAACCAGCUCGUCAGUUAGAUGGCGUCAACCUAAAGAGCUUCUACAUCUGGAAACUGCAGGAUCGACACGUUCGGCCUCUUCACCUCUUUCCACCACCGGUCACAACCCAAAACCUCCAUCGCAGCCUAACGACGGAUCAUUGACUGCAGUGGUUUCCCUGGCAACAACGUCACAUCUUCCUGUAGGGUCAGCAACCGCCGGACAGUGUGUUCCAUCUGCGCUCGCAUCUCAGAGAACAAACCCCUGCUGUUCUUCACUGCAUGUCUCCUCAUCACGCUAGCUGUGCUAGUGGCAGUCGUCAUCGUCAGGAGGAAGAGGGCUAGGAGUAGGGGGUGCCGGUGUGUCCUGUCCCAUUAGGGAUGAAGUGUCAGCUGUGGGAGAGAGUGGCCCUGCAGCGUGUGACAAAGGAUCCGAGUGGUCAGCUGCUAGGCGUUUGGUCCUGUCGUAAUGGUUCUUGGGGACAGGUCUAGGAUCCGCUUACCCUCCUGAAAUCCAAACCUUGAACUGAGAGGAAAAACACAAAACUGACUGUAGAGCAGUGUCUAGGGGGAAACUUCAUUCUAAUCCACAUGGGAUUGUGCUCAACACAGCGGGAUCAGUGAGGGCCAGGGGGUCAUCUUUACCAAUACCAAGUGACUAAUAGUCUCUGUCUGAGCGCUAGAGAUCCCACAUAUUGAAAAACAAUGUAUCUCCAAUGAAUACAAUUGACAGUUUGUAGCCUAUAAACUAUCAGAAAUGUAUUAUGAAUCCUCAUGCUGCCAAGGCAGCAGCUACUCUUCCUGGGGUCCAGCUAAAUUAAUGCAGUUUAUACCAUUUUAAAAGCAUUACAAUACAUUCACAGAUUUCACAACACACUGUGUGCCCUCAGGCCCCUACUCCACCACUACCACAUAUUUACAGUACAAAAUCCAUUUGUCUGUAGUGCGUCUGUUAUGUGUGUAGGCAUGUGUCUGUGCCUAUGUUUGUGUUGCCUCACAGUCCCAGCUGUUCCAUAAGGUGUAUUUUAUAUAUUUUUUUUAAUCACAUUUUACUGCUUGCAUCAGUUACUUGAUGUGGACUAGAGUUCCAUGUAGUCAUGGCUCUAUGUAGUACUGUACGCCUCCCAUAGUCUGUUCUGGACUUGGGGACUGUGAAGAGAUCUCUGGUGACAUGUCUUGUGGGGUAUGCAUAGAUGUCCGAGCUGUGCUGCAGUAGUUCAAACAGACAACUCGGUGCUUUAAACAUGUCAAUACCUCUCAUAAAUACAAGUAGUGAUGUAGUCAAUCUAUCGACCACUUUGAGCAAGGAGAGAUUGACAUGCAUAUUAAUAUUAGCUCUCUGUGUACAUCCAAGGCCCAGCCGUGCUGCCCUGUUCUGAGCCAAUUGCAAUUUUCCUAAGUCCCUUUUUGUGGCACAUGACCACAUGACUGAACAAUAGUCCAGGUGAGACAAAACUAGGGCCUGUAUGACCUGCCUUGUUGAUAGUGUUAAGAAGGUAGAAACUAGGGCCUGUAGGACCUGCCUUGUUGAUAGUGUUGUUAAGAAGGUAGAGCAGCGCUUUAUUAUGGACUUUUUUAUUCUCCCCAUCUUAGCUACUGUUGUAUCAAUAUAUUUUGACCAUGACAGUUUACAAUCCAGGGUUACUCCAUGCAGUUUGGUCACCUGAUUUGUCCCAAAUACAAUGAUUUUAGUUUUAGAAAUAUUUAUGACUAACUUAUUCCUUGCCACCCACUCUGAAACUAACUGCACCUCUUUGUUAAGCAGUCAUUUUGGUCGCUGUAGUAGCUGACAUGUAUAGUGUUGAGUCAUCCGCAUACAUAGACACUCUGGCUUUACUCAAAGCCAGUGGCAGGUCAUUAAUAAAGAUUGAAAAAAGUAAGGGGCCUAGACUGAUUGUGUAUCGUGUAGGCCAACAAUAGACUGCCCUGUAUGACUUGUUAGUGUGCAUCACUCAGUGUCCUGAUCUCAUGUCUUGGAGACUUGUAAUCAUAGGGAGUUCACAGGGCGUCUGAACUGAUGGCAGAAGUAUUUUUCUCCCUUGGCUCCAGAGCCAUGUUAUCUAUGGAUGGCCAACUCAAGCACUUGUUUAGUUCGACUAAUUUAUUGCGCAAUUUUAUUGAGGGGGUAAAGAUGAUGUGUGAUGUCAUUGUAAAAACAUAUGUUAUUAUGUAAAUUAAACCAUAAUUUGCUAUAUAUGAAAUUCAAUAAAAUACAACUGUGUUGCAGCUUUCCCUUUUUCAAAUUGAUGUUAUCUGUUG
ensembl:lncRNA